rnacentral:tRNA from 1 species
CAAAUGAAGUUAUUACUAAAGACCUCGCUAACCCGAGUAGAGUCUGUAAACCAGACAUUUUGAG